UUGUGGAAAGGGUGAUCGUGGGACUUCGUUGUUGAAGGGCAACCGACUGACUCAGAGAAUGCUUGGUGAUGACAAUAGAUUUCGAUGGUGGAGAAGAUAAGGUCGAAGCCAUAGCCGAAAAUUCCGAUGAUUGAUGGUUAAUGUAUAUGACUUUAAAUUAAAAAUAUGAAGAAUUAAUGUACAUGAUUUGAAAUUAAAAUAUGAAGAAUUAAAAAAAAAAAAACUUUUAGUUAAUGAACUUAAAAUUGGCCAAGAUCACUUUAUGUCCAGUCGUUUUAGCGAAUUCUCAAAAAUGUCUCAACCUAACGGUAAUACCAAAAUGAUACCCAACCUACCAAAAAAUUAUUGUUUAUAUCCUAUUAAAAAAAUUUGGCUCCUGAAAACUAACGUGAAUCGUCGGAUAUCCAACAUGGAUUGCCAAUGUGAAUUUAUUAAUCUACAUGAAAUUCUCACUUUAUUUUUCGAGCAAAAAGAAAAAAACAAAAAUAAAAGUGAAAACCCUAAUAUUCAAAGUUAGUGCAUCAUCUCUCUUCUUUCUCG
rnacentral:lncRNA from 1 species